UUCAUACUCCCUCCGUCCGUAAAUACUUGUCAUCAAAAUGAUUAAAAAAUGAUGUAUCUAGACGUAUUUUAGUUCUAGAUACAAUCUUUUUUAUUUAUUUUAAUGACAAGUAUUUUCGGACGGAGGGAGUACAAA
rfam:Triticum aestivum genome assembly, contig: Triticum_aestivum_CS42_TGACv1_scaffold_361714_4DS